GGCUGCGAUCAUACCAGCACUAAUGCACCGGAUUCCAUCAGAACUCCGCAGUUAAGCGUGCUUGGGCGAGAGUAGUACUAGGAUGGGUGACCCCCUGGGAAGUCCUCGUGUUGCAACCC
rnacentral:rRNA from 1 species